GAUGAACGCUGGCGGCGUGCUUAACACAUGCAAGUCGAACGAUGAAAGCGGGAGCUUGCUCCUGCUGGAUUAGUGGCGAACGGGUGAGUAACACGUGAGUAACCUGCCCUUGACUCUGGGAUAAGCGUUGGAAACGACGUCUAAUACCGGAUACGACCUUCGGAGGCAUCUCCUGGGGGUGGAAAGAAUUUCGGUCAAGGAUGGACUCGCGGCCUAUCAGCUAGUUGGUGAGGUAAUGGCUCACCAAGGCGACGACGGGUAGCCGGCCUGAGAGGGUGACCGGCCACACUGGGACUGAGACACGGCCCAGACUCCUACGGGAGGCAGCAGUGGGGAAUAUUGCACAAUGGGCGAAAGCCUGAUGCAGCAACGCCGCGUGAGGGACGACGGCCUUCGGGUUGUAAACCUCUUUUAGUAGGGAAGAAGCGAAAGUGACGGUACCUGCAGAAAAAGCACCGGCUAACUACGUGCCAGCCGCCGCUGUAAGAC
rnacentral:rRNA from 1 species